GCAGUCGACGGUAACAUUGAUGCUUGCAUCAGAUGACGAGUGGCGCACGGGUGAGUAACGCGUAUACAAUCUACCUUUUACAGGGGGAUAGCCUUUAGAAAUGAAGAUUAAUAUCCCAUAGUAAGUAGUUUUGGCAUCAAGACAACUUUAAAGUUUCGGCGGUAAAAGAUGAGUAUGCGUUCUAUUAGUUAGUUGGUAAGGUAACGGCUUACCAAGACCACGAUAGAUAGGGGCCCUGAGAGGGGGAUCCCCCACACUGGUACUGAGACACGGACCAGACUCCUACGGGAGGCAGCAGUGAGGAAUAUUGGACAAUGGGCGCGAGCCUGAUCCAGCCAUGCCGCGUGCAGGAAGACUGCCCUAUGGGUUGUAAACUGCUUUUAUACAGGAAGAAACCUUUUCACGUGUGAAAAGCUGACGGUACUGUAAGAAUAAGGAUCGGCUAACUCCGUGCCAGCAGCCGCGGUAAUACGGAGGAUCCAAGCGUUAUCCGGAAUCAUUGGGUUUAAAGGGUCCGUAGGUGGAUAAUUAAGUCAGGGGUGAAAGUUUGCAGCUCAACUG
rnacentral:rRNA from 2 species